CUGCUAGUAUACUAGCAGGCAGCCAUAGUGAAGGACUGUUGCAGAUAGCAUCAGGGCCUCAGCCAGGACAGCAGCAGAAUGGAUUUACUGGUCAGCCAGCUACUUACCAUCAUAACAGCACUACCACCUGGACUGGAAGUAGGACUGCACCAUACACACCUAAUUUGCCUCACCACCAAAACGGCCAUCUUCAGCACCACCCGCCUAUGCUGCCCCAUCCCGGACAUUACUGGCCAGUUCACAAUGAACUUGCAUUCCAGCCUCCCAUUUCCAAUCAUCCUGCUCCUGAGUAUUGGUGUUCCAUUGCUUACUUUGAAAUGGAUGUUCAGGUAGGAGAGACAUUUAAGGUUUCUUCAAGCUGCCCUAUCGUUACUGUUGAUGGGUAUGUGGACCCUUCAGGAGGAGAUCGCUUUUGCUUGGGUCAACUCUCCAAUGUCCACAGGACAGAAGCCAUUGAGAGAGCAAGGUUGCACAUAGGCAAAGGUGUGCAGUUGGAAUGUAAAGGUGAAGGUGACGUUUGGGUCAGGUGCCUCAGUGACCACAUGGUCUUUGUACAGAGUUACUACUUAGACAGAGAAGCUGGGCGUGCACCUGGAGAUGCUGUUCAUAAGAUCUACCCCAGUGCAUAUAUAAAGGUCUUGAUUUGCGUCAGUGUCAUCGACAGAUGCAGCAGCAGGCGGCCACUGCACAAGCUGCAGCCGCCGCCCAGGCAGCAGCCGUGGCAGGAAACAUCCCUGGUCCAGGAUCAGUAGGUAGAAUAGCUCCAGCUAUCAGUCUAUCAGCUGCUGCGGGAAUUGGUGUUGAUGACCUUCGUCGCUUAUGCAUACUCAGGAUGAGUUUUGUGAAAGGCUAGGGACCGGAUUACUCAAGACAGAGCAUCAAGGAGACCCCUUGCUGGAUUGAAAUUCACUUACACCGGGCCCUCCAGCUCCUAGAUGAAGUACUUCACACCAUGCCAAUUGCAGACCCACAGCCUCUAGACUGAGGAAUUUCUUUUUACUGCUGGGGCCCUUAACAUUAGCAGGAUGGUGGACUAUAAAAUACAAUCCUGUUUAUAAUCUGAAGAUACAUUUCACUUUUGUUCUGCUUUAUCUUUUCAUAAAGGGUUGGAAUAUGUGUUUGCUGCCUUGCUCCUAGCAGACAGAAACUGGAUUAAAACAAUUUUUUCCCCUUAUUUAGAACUUUUCAGGCAUGGCUCAGAGCUUGAAGAUUAGGAAAAACACAUUCUUAUUAAAUCUUCACCAGUUAUGUAUGAAGGAAUCAUUCCUGUGCUGGAAAGUUUAGCCCUUUAAACUGUCUUAGAGCCUUUUAUAUGCA